UCCCUGGUGGUCCAGUGGCCAAGACUCUGUGCUUCCAACGCAGGGGACCUAGGUUCAAACCCUGGUCGGGAAA
rfam:Ovis aries breed Texel chromosome 12, whole genome shotgun sequence.